GUCUAAUUUUUGGCUCUUCAAGCUUCAGCCACACAGGCCUAGAGACCCAUUGGCAACCUUCUGGAAACCUCCGGUUGCUAGGGAUAAAUGUUCAUUCUCAGACUGGUUGAGCGUCGUUCCUGCUGCGGACCUCGGCGUCCAGAGUGGCCUGCAUGGACUCCAACACUCUCUGGUGGUUCCUCUUCAUCUGGUCGAUCUCCUCGUCUUUCUCCGCCAAUUUCUGGUUGACUUCAGCCUUCAUCUGGUUCAGCUCCAUCUGUACAUGCAGGAUCUUCGACUCCUCCUGCUCCAGGGAAGCCUUAAAAACAUUUCGGUUGCGUUUCACACUGUAAUGGUAAGAAUGCAGUAUUUUUCUGAUUUUCCUCACUUCCUUUUGAGUUAUACCUCAGCUUCUUCCAGCGCAGCCUGCAUGUCAUAUUUCUCCGUUUCCACCUGCUUCUUGAAUUUGUCGAGCUCGUGAAUCGUCUUUCCGCUCUCCCCAAGUUGUUCUGUUAAGUCUGAGAUCUCCUCUGUGUGAAAAUCGGGAUUGUAAGAAAUUUUCAAAACAACUUUUUUAAAGUUGUUGAUCUACAUAAAACAUUCUGAUCUGACUCACGCUGCAGGUUUUUAUUCUCCCUCUUCAUCGUCUCCAGAUGAUCCAAUGCUUCCUCAUAUGAGUUCUUCAGUUUGAAGAGCUCAGUGCUCAGAGAUCGACUCUCUUUCUGAGUUCCCUCGAGCUCAGCCUGAGACUCCUCGUACUUCUGCUUCCACUCAGCCAGAAUCUGAGCUCAGGGAGACAUUCGCUGGUCAGAAUUAAUGCUGUAAUAUGUGUGUGAUAAUUAAAAAAAUAAAAUAAUACCUUGUCAAAGUUUCUUUGCUUCUUGUCUAGUGUAGCAGCUAAACUGUUGGAUCGUUCCACAUCCACCAUCAGGUCCUCCAUUUCAUUCUGAAGCCGCUGUUUAGUUUUCUCCAGUGAGGCGCACUUUGAGUUCACCGCCUCGAUUUGUUCUUCAGCCUCUUGCAGACGCUGGGCAAGCUUUUUCCUGUCACCAGUAAAACCAGUUGUUUCAAAUCAAAAAGAUUUUUCAUUUGUGUGUUGUAGGACGCAUUUUUUUCAGCCUUUAUUUAACAAGGAAGCAAACUUCUGGAG
rnacentral:lncRNA from 1 species